GCAAAGUAAGAAUCUUUGCUUAAACAGAGAACUUUUAUUAGUCACUUAGAUGGAAUACAAAAGACUAGUGAGGCUGAUGAGGAGGAAGACAAGGAGCCUUCCAAGUCCCAACCAUCACUACAAUAAAUCACAAUAACAAUAAUCGAAUAUUAUCAAAGUACAAAGCAGACACCAGGAUGAAAGGAGUUAAGGGUUUAAUUAAUUAAUAGCAUACGAAUCCCUUAGGGACCCCCUUUCCACAGUAGUUGAGAAUCAAGCUCAAGUUGAUGGGGAGGUUAAGGUUGAUUCCAAGCACAUUAGCCUUGAGAGCAGUGCAAAGGCACACAGCAGCUUCAAGAUCAACAAGUCCCUCAAGGAGGGAGCAGCAUGGGGUCUUUGGUGGCUUUCCAAGCUUCACAUUGAUCAAAUCCAACACAUCAGCACACACACCUAACUUUAUAGUGUCCCUUGGGCAACUAGGUUGCUUUGUGGAGGGUGGCUUUGUGGAGGGUGUGUGUUUGUGACCCUUGGCGGGUGGGGAGCAUGGGACAUUUGUGGAGCUAACCACUGCGAAGAAGAAGACAAGGUUGAGAGAGAGGAGAAUAGCAGCCUUGGAAGCCAUUGAGAAAGAUGUUAAUUGGAAGCUACUAAGUAACCGUUAGAAUGCUACUACUUAAUUACUUCAGUUUGGAGUGUGAGUUUGGUGGAUGGAGUUGGAGGGGGUUUUAUAAGGGAGGAUUUGGUGAGUUACUAUUUAUUUUAAGGUUUAAAUUAUUGGUUUGUUUGGACGCCCAUGUGAGUGAGUGAGCCCAUUGGGUGGAUAUUGGAUAGUUAGCACAAGCUGGCAGUUGAACAUGAAUGAAGGAAAUAUGGUUUAAAUCUGGGAAAAUAUUGGAUAUUUUUUUAUAUAUAUGAUGUUUGGAGCUAUGUGCUUGCUGCAGUUUGUUAGUUGUCAGCUCCAUGAAAUCAUUUUCUAUGUAUUGUCUCUAAGUAAAACAAAUUAAUUCAUAUUGCGAAGUGCAUGUCCUUGUUUCAUAUAUUAUUGAAAAUGAAUUGAUCACAAGAGCUCAAGAUUGUUCUUAUUACUCUGUAUUUGUUGUCUCUUACAGCUCAAGUUCUUUUGUCAAAUAUGCUGGAAAAUGCAAUGUGUUACAAAAUAAAAUAAUAGACCCAAUACUUCAACUCAAUAUUGACUAAGUCAUACACAUAUGAGAAUAAUGAUUCCUAAUUAAAAUAAUAUCAUAAAUUGUUGGAUAAUACAUGUUACAGUAUAAUAUCAUAUCUGCGAUGUUUCUAUCCAAGUUUGUCAACAAUCCUACAUACAGAUACACAUUAAGGGGGUCACUCCUCAAGUACACACUAUCUGCUCAACCCUAAUCCUUAUUUCUCUUUAGCCUCGCUGACUUGAGAGUCAGAGUGCCUAGCAGGUACCGUACCACCUCUAGUGCCCACCUGAUUACCGAAUACGAGAAGAAAGGGGCCAUUCCAUGGAGCAACAGUCCAACGGACCAGUCCUUCCACCUUGUCUAGGUCCUAUACUCAGGUUAAAGUUUCAGUUACUCGAGUGUUGGCACUGUCUGUGGGGAACGGUAAACCGUAUUCUCAUUGAUCUCUGUUAUGUCAAAUAUAGGAAGGAAGCAAGGGAACCAUACUCCCUCCCAGGAAGGACAACCUUUUACUAUCCGCGAAAGUCAGAUUGAUCCAAGCAAUCCGCUUGCCUGGCGACGGACACCAAAGACUUCAACAUUCCUGGCCACCUAGCCCGAGAAAAGAAGGAUUAAACCUAAAAUUAUUGGGUAUGUGAGCCUUUUCACUAAUAUUAUUAUUUUUAUGUAUUUCACUCUAAGGUAACUAAUAUGAGACACUAAACUUACACUUAGAACUACCGCCAAUGUGCGUAAAUCAAUUGUUGUUGGGUUGUUAUGCAGCUGUAUUAUAUAUUUGGUAUAGAGAUUUAUGAGGCCCAUUGUGGUUUUUAUCAAUCUGAACAUAUAUAAUUGUCUCAUUGGAGGAUAUAUGUAUUAAUGUCAUUGUGUUUAUUUAAUUUGAACCUUGUUUAAAAUCACUUUGACUGUUGAAGUUAUCUUAAGCUAAUGGAAAAUGCUGUUGUUACUUUGUAUAGGAUUAAAGGAGAGCGUUUCGUAACAAGUUUAGUAAGAUAGAAGGUGUAUUCCAAAGAGCUCCAAGUUGAGCAGAUGGAAACUGAACUUGCUGUAGGUGGAACACUUUAACAUGUAUGUGUUUUAAUUUUGGUUUAUAUAUUAACAUGUCAUUUACUUUAGACAUGUUCUAAAACAUAAUAUUUUGCAAGUAAUAGUGCAGAUCCACUAAUAACUACUGCAAAGUGGUAAGCUUAGGACUGGUUUAAUUGGUGUCUGGUGGCUCAAUCAGUAAAAAAAGAAUUGCCUAAAUUAAAGAUUUUAUAAAUAAUAUAGUGAUCACUAUUAGAGUAUAUAGGAUAGCUGGGGAUAUGAAAAUAUCGCCCAUGUGCUUGUGUGUGUGUGCCAGCUGGCAUGCCAGCUGGACACAGCUGUUAGAAGCUUGUUAGAACAGUUAUGUUUCUGUUAUGCAGUUAGAGUCAGUUACUGUUAGAGGUUAACUUGCAGUGUAAGUCACUGAGAUCCUAUAUAAGGAUCAAUCUCACAUUGUAACAAGUAACAACCACCAAUUGAUAAUGAAUAUUUCAGAUUCUGUUUCUUUUCUCUUUCUCGGGUUUCUCUAACAAUCACCUUCUAACUUACAUUGAUGUAAAGUGGUAAACCAUUAGAUGAUGAGGCUUGUUCUUGAAAAUGGGGUCAUUCUUUAAAAUUUCUAAAAACGAUUUCUGGAUUAGGAGGUCAAAUGUCACAGUUAUAGCCGAAUUAUCAUGUUAUAGAAAACUGACCCCUGCAUGAUUUCUCUUCAUUAUGAAUCUAAGCAAAGAAAAUGACUGUCAAGAAAUCUCUUGUAUUUAUAGAAAAUGAUUUACAGUGAAGUUUCUUCCUUAUAAUUCCAAGCUAAGAAAUUGAUUUCACUGUACUUAUUUCUGCUCCUAUAAAUCCUUUUAGAAGUACAACCUUGCACUUAUAUUCUUCGCCAGUCUGAUGGAAUAGGAUAUUUCCAAGUUAAUUUCUUUUGGAAAUACUCCUUAGAUUAGCCUAAGAAGAUCACCAGUGAAUGUCAGGAAACAAAUAAACAAGAACCUUGCCAAAGUGCCUUCUCAAUUUUCUCCACUUCUCUGCCCAUUCAACACCAGUAUAUUUAAUUCUUUAUUAAUUUUAUUGCUCUUAUUAUCUUGUUCCAUGUGUUGAUUAUGCCCUUAUCUUUAUACUGAUAACAUGUAAAUUAUAACUCAUUUUCAAGAACCUGUAAUUAUGAGAUAGUAUAAGUAUGCAGUUAUGGUCAAAAAUGUUAAUUAAUUGCAUUUUUUACUACUGCCAUAGUUUGCCUUAAUAUGAUGGAGAAAGUGUAGUGACUUGGGAUGCUUGGCUGGUUGGUGAUGUAAGCAUGCUAUCUUUUGCAUAUACUAUGAUUUUAUAUUAAAUGGAAAUUUAGAAAGGAAAUAGGCGAAAGGAAAACAAAAAGAAAUAUAUAUAGCAAAGUAAGAACCUCUGCUCAAACAGAGAAUUUUUAUUAGUCCCUUAGAUGGAAUACAAAAGACUAGUGAGGCUGAUGACGAGGAAGACAAGGAGCCUUCCAAGUCCCAACCAUCACUACAAUAAAUCACAAUAACAAUAAUCGAAUAUUAUCAAAGUACAAAGCAGACACCAUGAUGAAAGGAAUUAAGGGUUUAAUUAAUUAAUAGCAUACGAAUCCCUUAGGGACCCCCUUUCCACAGUAGUUGAGAAUCAAGCUCAAGUUGAUGGGGAGGUUAAGGUUGAUUCCAAGCACAUUAGCCUUGAGAGCAGUGCAAAGGCACACAGCAG
rnacentral:lncRNA from 1 species